rnacentral:rRNA from 1 species
CCUACGGGUGGCAGCAGUAGGGAAUCUUCCACAAUGGACGAAAGCCUGAAGGAGCAACGCAGCGUGAGUGAAGAAGGUCUUCGGAUCUUAAAACCCUGUUGUUAGAGAAGAAAAUGCGUGAGAGUAACGGUUCACGUUUCGACGGUAUCUAACCAGAAAGCCAAGGCGAACUACGUGCCAGCAGCCGCGGUAAUACGUAGGUGGCAAGCGUUAUCCGGAUUUAUUUGGCGUAAAGGGAACGCAGGUGGUCUUUUAAGUCUGAUGUGAAAGCUUUCGGCUUAACCGGAGUAGUGCAUUGGAAACUGGGAGACUUGAGUGCAGAAGAGGAGAGUGGAAUUCCAUGUGUAGCGGUGAAAUGCUUAGAUAUAUGGAAGAACACCAGUGGCGAAAGCGGCUCUCUGGUCUGUAACUGACGCUGAGGUUCGAAAGUGUGGGUAGCAAACAGGAUUAGAUACCCGAGUAGUC